rnacentral:ncRNA from 1 species
UCCGUCCGGGUCCGUGGUUGCGUCAUCCGGUCAGGUGCGCGUGCGCACCACCUCGGAGGACAAGCCGAUGCCAGUCGCAGGCAAAACGGCCCACGUAAGGCUGGAGACAGCCGAUCACGGUGCGGCUUAGAAGUAAGACCUGCCUCGGCACCGCCGUCAGAUACGGCGAGCGUCGGGAGAGGGCCGGUAGUGGCAUCCAAGCUGCGAAAGCUCCAGCAGGCGAUUGUGGGGUCGAAGACCAGGUCGGCCGGGCGGG